ensembl:lncRNA
GGAGGCUAUAUACAGGGUAUUACGGUACAGAGUCAAUGUGGAGGCUAUAUACAUGGGGUACAGGUACAGAGUCAAUGUGGAGACUAUAUACAGGGGGUACUGGUACAGAGUCAAUGUGGAGACUAUAUACAGUGGGUACCGGUACAGAGUCAAUGUGGAGGCUAUAUACAGGGUGUUACGGUACAGAGUCAAUGUGGAGGCUAUAUACAGGGGGUACCGGUACAGAGUCAAUGUGGAGGCUAUAUACAGGAGGUACAGGUACAGAGUCAAUGUGGAGGCUAUAUACAGGGGGUACCGGUACAGAGUCAAUGUGGAGGCUAUAUACAGGGGGUACCGGUACAGAGUCAAUGUGGAGGCUAUAUACAAGGUGUUACGGUACAGAGUCAAUGUGGAGGCUAUAUACAGGGGGUACCGGUACAGAGUCAAUGUGGAGGCUAUAUACAGGAGGUACAGGUACAGAGUCAAUGUGGAGGCUAUAUACAGGGGGUACCGGUACAGAGUCAAUGUGGAGGCUAUAUACAGGGUAUUACGGUACAGAGUCAAUGUGGAAACUAUAUACAGGGAGUACAGGUACAGAGUCAAUGUGGAGGCUAUAUACAGGGGGUACAGAGUCAAUGUGGAGACUAUAUACAG